rnacentral:misc_RNA from 1 species
AAUCCAGCCUGAGCGGUGACGUCCUCCCUUGCGUGCCUCCUCAAGUAUUGGCGCAAGAGCAGCAUCAUAAGCCUUGGCCGUUCGCGGGUUUCCUGUAUUGCAUACCUACACGAAGGAAUUCGGGUGUCCCAACGUUUAACGUUCUCCUAGUGCUGCCCCUGCAAGGGCGCGGUGCGAGGUGAACCGCGAAGGCAACUUCGUGUUCCAAGUCAAUCGUAGCACACGUCGUUGUUUUGGCCCACGAAGUGUAGCCUGAGCUCUCGGAUGCGGAAUACCAUGAGGGCAGGAGGUCACGGCCUCCGUGUGCCCACGCUCAG